rnacentral:rRNA from 1 species
AUUUUUUUUCCCUUGGGGGGGAAGAGACCCCCACGGAGAGCCCCCCUAAAGGGGAGAGUAGAGGCGCAAGAUCUAAUAUGAGAUCUCGCGGGAAAAGUAAUAUGAGGGGUUUUUGGUGUGAGUGUGGCGCGCCCACAUCCACAGGAACACGGGGCGCGGGAGGGGGAGAGACCCCUAUGGGGCACGCGGAGUCUUUGUACACCGCGGCUCCGACGAGUCGAGUUGUUUGGGAAUGCAGCUCUAAGUGGGUGGUAAAUUCCAUCUAAAGCUAAAUAUUGGCGAGAGACCGAUAGCGAACAAGUACAGUGAUGGAAAGAUGAAAAGCACUUUGAAAAGAGAGUGAAACAGCACGUGAAAUUGUUGAAAGGGAAGGGCUUGCAAGCAGACACGGUUUUACCGGGCCAGCGUCGAAAAGGGGGGAGGAACAAGAACUCGAGAAUGUGGCGCGCACCUUCGGGCGCGCGUGUUAUAGCUCGUGUUGACGCCUCCAUCCCUUUCGAGGCCUGCGAUCUAGGAUCGCUGCGAAUGCAG